rnacentral:rRNA from 1 species
GAGUUUGAUCGUGGCUCAGGAUGAACGCUAGCUACAGGCUUAACACAUGCAAGUCGAGGGGCAUCGGGAAGAAAGCUUGCUUUCUUUGCCGGCGACCGGCGCACGGGUGAGUAACACGUAUCCAACCUGCCCUUUACUCGGGGAUAGCCUUUCGGAAGAAAGAUUAAUACCCGAUGGCAUAAUGAUUCCGCAUGGUUUCAUUAUUAAAGGGUUCCGGUAAAGGAUGGGGAUGCGUUCCAUUAGGUUGUUGGUGAGGUACGACGUCACCAACG